CAGAAGGAUGAAUGGCACUGGGCUCUGACGGCCAAGCCGGUCAUGACAGACAUGCCCCAUUGUGGCAGGCCUAGAAAACCUCGCCCACUGAUCUGUGGCUCAUACACAACCAACGUUAUCUUCCAUAGCUUGGUUUUC
rnacentral:snoRNA from 1 species